AUGGAAGGAGCCAUCCCCAGCCGGCCAAACACGAGGGUCGCCGUCGUCACCGGCGGGAACAAGGGGAUCGGCUUCGAGGUGUGCCGGCAGCUAGCCAGCGACGGAGGAGUCACGGUCGUCCUGACGGCCCGGGACGAGACGAGGGGCACGGAGGCGGUCGAGAAGCUCAGAACGCUGGGGCUCACCGACGCCAACGUCGUCUUCCAUCAGCUGGACAUCACGGACGCUUCGAGCAUCGCCACGCUAGCCGAUUUCCUCAAGACCCGUUUCGGGAAGCUGGACAUCCUGGUGAACAAUGCUGCAAUCGCCGGGGUUGAGUACCCCCAAGAUGUGGAUACCAACGAGGAAAAGUUCGCUGGCAUGGAUAUCAAGCAGAGACUUGACUGGAUGAUAAAGACUGUCCGGGAGCCCAUCGGCGCCGCAAAGAAAGCCGUGGAGACGAACUACUACGGCACCAAGCAUGUCACCCAAGCCCUUCUGCCUCUGCUGCUGCAAUCUUCCUCUUCCUCCCAGGGGAAGAUAGUGUGCGUCUCCUCCGACUAUGGGCUGCUCAAGCUUAUCGGCGACGAGGAGAUCAGGCGGGACCUCGACGACAUCGACAACCUGACGGAGGAGAGGGUGGACGGAUUUUUUGUCCAAAAGGACCCCCUGCCGAACGCACUGAGAUGA
rnacentral:rRNA from 1 species